rnacentral:rRNA from 1 species
GCAAGUCGUACGUGAAAGUCUUCGGACGAGUAAAGUGGCGAAAGGGUGAGUAACACGUAAUCAACUUACCCUCGAGACGGGGAUAACUGCUGGAAACGGCAGCUAAUACCCGAUGUCGAUAACUGGUCAUAAGGCCGGUGAUCGAAACGGUGGGGAUCCUACGGGACCUACUGCUUGAGGAGAGGGUUGCGGCCUAUCAGCUUGUUGGUGAGGUAAUGGCUCACCAAGGCUAAGACGGGUAGCCGGUCUGAGAGGAUGAUC